GAUAAGGCUUAUGGUGGAUGCCUUGGCAUGGAUAGGCGACGAAAGACGUGAUAAGCUGCGAUAAGCUACGGGGAGUUGCACGUAAACAUCGAUCCGUAGAUUUCUGAAUGGGGAAACCUGGCAGGUAUAGCCUGUCGCUUAAUACUGAAUACAUAGGUAUUAAGUGCUAACUCGGCCAACUGAAACAUCUCAGUAGCCGAAGGAAGAGAAAACAAUACAGUGAUUUUCCAAGUAGCGGCGAGCGAACGGGAAAGAGCCUAAACUGUUGUGGUUUCGGCUGCAACAGGGUUGUAGGACUUGCGACAUGGCUUUUGCGACGAAGACGAAGCUGACUGGAAAGCAGCACCAAAGAGGGUGACAGUCCCGUAGACGUAAGUCAAGAUAAAGCCUAGCAAGACUCCUGAGUAUCACGGGACCGGAGAAAUCCUGUGAGAAGCUACCAGCACCAUCUGGUAAGGCUAAAUACUCAUCCAUGACCGAUAGUGAACCAGUACCGUGAGGGAAAGGUGAAAAGAACGCCUAAUCGGCGAGCGAAAAGUACCUGAAACCAUAAGCUGACAACCAGUUGGAGCCCCCUUGUGGGGUGACAGCGUGCCUUUUGCUUAAUGAGCCUACGAGUUGCUCUUUACUGGCAAGGCUAAGGCCUUCAGGGCCGAAACCGCAGCGAAAGCGAGUCUGAAUAGGGCGCAGAGUCAGUAGAGGCAGACGCGAAACCAAGUGAGCUACCUAUGACCAGGUCGAAGCGCGGGUAAGACCGCGUGGAGGGCCGAACCGCCUAGCGUUGAAAAGCUAUCGGAUGAGUUGUGGGUAGGGGUGAAAGGCCAAUCAAACUUGGAAAUAGCUCGUACUCCUCGAAAUGCAUUUAGGUGCAGCGCCGUGUUAAAGUCUACUGGAGGUAGAGCACUGAUUGGGCUAGGGCCCUUCACCGGGUACCAAACCCAGACAAACUCCAAAUACCAGUAGUACGUUCCACGGUAGUGAGGGCGCGGGGGAUAAGCUCCGUGUCCAAGAGGGAAACAACCCAGAUCGACAGCUAAGGCCCCAAAGUUUAGACUAAGUUGCUUGAAGGAAGUCAGACUGCUUAGACAACCAGGAUGUUGGCUUAGAAGCAGCCAUUCAUUAAAAGAGUGCGUAAUAGCUCACUGGUCGAGCGGUCAGGCGCCGAAAAUAACCGGGCAUAAAGUCUAACGCCGAAGCUUCGAAUUGCAGCUUUGCUGCAGUGGUAGAGGAGCAUUCCAGCGGCACAGAAGCUGUGUUGUGAGACACAGUGGAGCUUCUGGAAAAGAAAAUGUAGGCAUGAGUAACGAUAAUUUCGAUGAGAAAACGAAACGCCGUAAGCCUAAGAGUUCCUGUUCAACGCUAAUCGGAACAGGGUUAGUCGGGACCUAAGCCGAGACCGAAAGGUGUAGGCGAUGGAAAACGGGUCAAUAUUCCCGUACCACUCGAUAACGUUAACAUAAGGCGUGACGCAAAUGCGUAAGAUCCGCGUGCCUACGGAAGGUACGUUGAAGUGCGUAGGCUGGGAGGUAGGCAAAUCCGCCUCCCAUGACGGCUGAAACACGACAGUAGAGGGAGCCUUCGGGCAAACUCAUAGUGAUCCGAAGCAGGUUGCCAAGAAAAGCGUCGUAUGUUGUUAUCAGUGCUCGUAUCUCAAACCAACACAGGUAGGCGAGGAGAGUAUCCUCAGGCGCUCGAGUGAUUCGCGGUUAAGGAAUUCGGCAAAAUUGCCCCGUAACUUCGGGAGAAGGGGCGCCCGUCCUCAUCUAAAAGCGAGGACAGGCCGCAGUGACUAGACUCAAACGACUGUUUAACAAAAACACAGACCUCUGCCAAGUCGCAAGACGACGUAUAGGGGUUGACACCUGCCCGGUACUGGAAGGUUAAUGAAGUGUGUUAUCCUUCGGGAGAAGCUCACGACUGAAGCCCCAGUAAACGGCGGCCGUAACUAUAACGGUCCUAAGGUAGCGAAAUUCCUUGUCGGGUAAGUUCCGACCUGCACGAAUGGUGCAACGAUUUGAGUACUGUCUCAACCGCGAGCUCGGUGAAAUUGUGGUGCCGGUGAAGACGCCGGCUUCCCUCAGUGGGACGGAAAGACCCCGUGCACCUUUACUACACCUUGGCAUUGACAUUAGUCAGAAUAUGUGCAGGAUAGGCGGGAGGCAUCGAAGUCACGUCGCUAGGCGUGGUGGAGCCACCCUUGAAAUACCGCCCUUAUUCUGAUUGAUGCCUAACCUACGACCGUUAGCCGGUCGAGAGACAGUGUCAGGCGGGUAGUUUGACUGGGGCGGUCUCCUCCUAAAUGGUAACGGAGGAUUUCAAAGGUACCCUCAGCAUGGUCGGUAAUCAUGCGCAGAGUGUAAAGGCAAAAGGGUGCUUGACUGCGAGACAUACAGGUCGAGCAGGUGCGAAAGCAGGACUUAGUGAUCCGGCAGUUCCUCAUGGAAGGGCUGUCGCUCAAAGGAUAAAAGGUACGCCGGGGAUAACAGGCUUAUCUCCGCCAAGAGUUCAUAUCGACGCGGAGGUUUGGCACCUCGAUGUCGGCUCGUCGCAUCCUGGGGCUGUAGAAGGUCCCAAGGGUUGGGCUGUUCGCCCAUUAAAGCGGCACGCGAGCUGGGUUCAGAACGUCGUGAGACAGUUCGGUCCCUAUCUACUGAGGGCGUUUGGAAAUUUGAGGAGAGCUGCUUCUAGUACGAGAGGACCGAAGUGGACGGACCGCUAGUGUACCAGCUAUGCUGCCAAGUGUACCGCUGGGUAGCUAUGUCCGGAAGAGAUAAGCGCUGAAAGCAUCUAAGCGCCAAGCUCACUCCUAGAUUAGAUUUCCCCUAUGGGUCGUCCGAGAUGAGGACGUGGAUAGGCGGCAGGUAUACGCAUGGCGACAUGUUCAGCCGAGCCGUACUAAUUACCCAUGAGGCUUAGCA
rnacentral:rRNA from 1 species